rnacentral:rRNA from 1 species
GAUGAACGCUGGCGGCGUGCCUAAUACAUGCAAGUCGAACGCGCAGCGAAAGGUGCUUGCACCUUUCAAGCGAGUGGCGAACGGGUGAGUAACACGUGGAUAACCUGCCUCAAGGCUGGGGAUAACAUUUGGAAACGGAUGCUAAUACCGAAUAAAACUUAGUAUCGCAUGAUAUAAAGUUAAAAGGCGCUACGGCGUCACCUAGAGAUGGAUCCGCGGUGCAUUAGUUAGUUGGUGGGGUAAAGGCUUACCAAGACAAUGAUGCAUAGCCGAGUUGAGAGACUGAUCGGCCACAUUGGGACUGAGACACGGCCCAAACUCCUACGGGAGGCUGCAGUAGGGAAUCUUCCACAAUGGGCGCAAGCCUGAUGGAGCAACGCCGCGUGUGUGAUGAAGGCUUUCGGGUCGUAAAGCACUGUUGUAUGGGAGGAAAUGCUAAAAUAGGGAAUGAUUUUAGUUUGACGGUACCAUACCAGAAAGGGACGGCUAAAUACGUGCCAGCAGCCGCAGUAA